UCAUUUGGUGAAUUUAAGUGAUUCAUGGCAGGAAUGGAUACAUAUGCCUUGUGUUUUCAUCAUUUGUGUGUGGCUUUCUCAAAUUCAGAAUUUCAAUUUGGAUGAGAACCUACAUAAAUAUCUCAUAAAGUCCUCUAUCAUGCAAUGGAUAACAUUGUGCUGUAUUGCAGCCUUUCCAGAUUAUCUCAAUCAUCUAAAUUGUGGUUGGAUAUGAUGAGGAAUGGGAGUAGGGAAGGUUCGAGUCGAGUUUCUGUGCAAAUUGAAUGAGUUGUAGCUAAUGUGGAUGUUCCUGUAUUUAAG
rnacentral:misc_RNA from 1 species